AGCGAACGCUGGCGGCAGGCCUAACACAUGCAAGUCGAACGGACCCUUCGGGAUUAGUGGCGGACGGGUGAGUAACACGUGGGAACGUGCCCUUUGGUUCGGAACAACUCAGGGAAACUUGAGCUAAUACCGGAUGUGCCCUUCGGGGGAAAGAUUUAUCGCCAUUGGAGCGGCCCGCGUCUGAUUAGCUAGUUGGUGAGGUAACGGCCCACCAAGGCGACGAUCAGUAGCUGGUCUGAGAGGAUGAUCAGCCACACUGGGACUGAGACACGGCCCAGACUCCUACGGGAGGCAGCAGUGGGGAAUCUUGCGCAAUGGGCGAAAGCCUGACGCAGCCAUGCCGCGUGAAUGAUGAAGGUCUUAGGAUUGUAAAAUUCUUUCAGCGGGGACGAUAAUGACGGUACCCGCAGAAGAAGCUCCGGCUAACUUCGUG
rnacentral:rRNA from 1 species